CUCACUCUCAGUCCAAAACCGCCGCCACUCCCCUCUUCCACCGGAGACCCAUUUUCCGGCGCGGCUGCUGCUUCCCGCAACAUCGAGCUCCCCGCCUCGCCGACCCACACCAGCGGCCUCGCUCGCGCUUGCCGCCUCGUCCAGUGCCGGAGGCUAUCAGCGCGCGAUGGACCCUGGUUCUUCCCCCGGUGCAUUCUGCCGUCCUAGCUUGCCGUCGCCCUAGCUCCUCCUAUGAACUGCCGCAGUUUCCGUUUUCCCACUCGUCCUGCGAAAGAGAUCUGAGGAGAUAUCCAUGUCUUUGCUAACUGAUGACCUGGUUGUGGAGAUUUUGUCUCGGCUACCGCUGAAGUCCUUUUGCCGCUUCAAAUGCGUCUGCAAGUACUGGCUUACCUUGUCAUCUAAUCCACACUACCGCAAGAAGUUCCCAAGAACUCCCGUUGGUAUCUUGUACCAAAUACCUCAGUAUGGCACUGGCAUCCAUCUCGCUAGGCUUCCCUCAUGCGACAAAGAAAUUGACACAACGCUUAGCUUUGUGCCAUGUUAUGAGUACCUAGAGCUUAAGGGUUGCAGCAAUGGCCUACUUCUUUGUUAUCAUGGUGGUAUCACAACAUAUUUCGCAGACAUAUCCCAUGUUAUUGUGUGCAAUCCAGCAACUCAAGAGUGGAUGUCACUUCCAAAUACUGAACCUGGACCGGCAGA